rnacentral:lncRNA from 1 species
AAAAAUUUUGAAGUUGGAAAGGGAGUGGUUGAAAAGUGAAUAAAUGUGGGUAAAUGUGAAUAAAUGGGGAAGGUAAAAAGUUGUAGGGUUGUAACGUUCGUCUCCAACGGUCUUUGUAACGUUAACAUGGCGUUACGCUCGUUACAGGAGCAUGACGGGCGUCACAAGCACUUUGUGUGACGUCCGUGAUAGAAUGUGUGACGCUCGUCACACAGUCUUUUUGGCAAGGUUCUGCUAGCGUUCUUCAGAAUAACUUUGGUAAUUAAUUUUUUUUUUUUAUUAUUUAUUUUGUUUUGCUUCAGAUUAUUUUAUUUUGCUAUUUAAUUUUCCUGCAUGCUAUUCUACUUUGUAUAAUAGUGCAUAAAUGUAUUAUAUUGUUAAUAAUUUAUGUAGGCAGCAACAGUAGAGAGCAUUUUUUU